rnacentral:lncRNA from 1 species
GAUUUAUUACCACAAACAGAAAUAGCGCAUAGAGGAAAGAAAAGAAACUGUACCUUCUCUGCAUAUAAUUGUUUGUAAGCCCCGACCAUACAUCAACGACACAGUCUCUCUAUAUGUCUCUUUCGAGUUUCAUAAACCUCCCUUCUAUGGCGGCAGCACUCUCAUCAAUCGCCGUAACACUCAAACCACUCAACUGCUCUUUCUCUUCCUCUAACUCUCGCCUCAGUCACCACCCUAUCUCCGCCGCCGUUUUCCCACCGUCUCUCAGAUUCAACACCUUUCGAAGAUGUAAGAACAUCACCAUCUGUUUUGUCAUUGAAGAUCAGAAACAAAGCUGUCCCGACAUCUUGACGACGUCGAGGCUUGAGAAAGAGGAGAGGAAGAAGUCGGAGAGAUUCACUUAUCUAAUCGCUGCUAUGAUGUCGAGCUUCGGCAUUACUUCCAUGGCAAUCAUGUCCGUUUACUACCGAUUUUAUUGGCAAAUGAAGGUUAAAAAAGAACACAAAAAUUCAUCAAAAUGUUCAAUAUUUUCCGACAGGAUUUUGAAACUGAGACUUGGUUUUUGUUUGGACUUAGGGAGGUGAGGUACCAGUAUCAGAAAUGUUUGGUACAUUUGCUUUCUCAAUUGGUGCCGUCGUAAGUUAAAGUUUUGUCCUUAACGAUCCGGAUGAGUGUAUCCGUCGAGUAGUCCGGUUACCAUAUUUUUUGUAAUAUCUUUCACUAAAAAAUGUUUGGGUUUAUAGGUUGGGAUGGAAUUCUGGGCAAGAUGGGCUCAUGAAGCUCUCUGGCACACUUCGUUGUGGAACAUGCAUGAGGUAACUGUUUUUGUUUCCGGUUUACAAAAAUAACUUAAAGUGUUCUUUGUGAAUUUAAACCGGUUUUUGUUUGGGGUAGUCUCAUCACAAACCUCGAGAAGGAGCGUUUGAGUUAAACGAUGUGUUUGCUAUAAUAAACGCGGUUCCUGCGAUUGCUCUUCUUUACUAUGGAUUCUUCAAUAAAGGACUUGUUCCGGGUCUCUGCUUCGGUGCGGUAAGUCCUUCUCCUUCUCCCUCUUUUUAUCUUCUUUGACAAUAUCGGAAACGUUAUAUAUUUUGAUUGGUCUUUGACUCUUAGAAAACUGUAUUUAGUUUUAGUUAUCUCACAGAAACCAAAAGAACAUGAAACAUGGUUUAGUAAAAGUAGAUUAAACUACUAAAUCAGUAAAUUCAACGAAAUUUCGUUAGACAGAGAUAGGUAUAUUUAGAAUAGUUUAUGAUUGUCGUAAACUGUAAGAUGUUUUCAACGUGACUGAAACAAUUAUAACUAAAUUUAUUACAUUUAAAAUUCAUUGACCUGCGGUUUAGCCACGGUUGCAUAUUGGAGUUUAAUUAGCUGACUUUUUUUGUUGAACUAAUUUGAUGCACUAAAAUAAAUGAAACCAAUGUAUACAGAGUUUGAGCUAUAUAGUUUUGUUUUUUGCACAAAGCUAUAUAGUUUGUUACAAGUUUGAAGGAAUCUAUAGAGUAUUGCAAAGUGAUAUUAAGCCAAAAGAAAUUAUGAGUUACGAUUACCUCUAUCUAUACAUGCUUUCCCUUCCUUUUUAUUUUUAAAUGAAUGUUAAAUUUUUAUUCAUAAAAAAAAACCUCUGUACAUCCAAGUGUGUCCUUAGCUUAACUUUUUAUACAACUUAAACUCUUUAUAUAAUUAGUAAAGCCUAUAAAAAAUUAUAUCCUUGUACUAAACCAAAACUGCAAUGCUCCUUCCAUGCCCUUCAGCCUCUUCGAUCUCAUUAGGCUAAGCUUAUUUCUAACCCCCUUAUCAAUCAGUUUCUUCAAGGUAACCAUCGGCAAUAACUUUUCUCCGUGUUUCAAUCUGUUUCUCUCACGCCACAGAGUAUAUAUCGCAGCCUGGAAAGCAUAAUGAAUGCAGAACAAUCGCCUCUUCUCCAUUUUUUCAUCAGAAAGCAGUAAAGCAAUAUCAUUCCAACCAUUUGAAUAAGAAUCACCCAAGAUCUCUUUAGUGAGAUGCUCCCAUACCUGAGAAGUAUAGGAACACUCAAAAAAAUAAGUGAUCUCGUGAUUCCUCUGCAUUCUUGCACAACACACAUGUCGUGUCCACUCCUAUACUCCACUUAGCAACUCGAUCCAGAGUAGAGAGCCUGUUUAGUGUCGCAAACCAAGUUAUAAAAGCAAACUUUGGAGUAGCUUGGGAGAACCAAACACCUCGAGUCCAAAGAAGCUUCAUCUUCGGUUCUCUUAUUAAUCUCCAAGUCUCUUGAGUCGAAAAAUUAUUCUUGAACCCCGAAUCUCUUCUCCAUAAGCUAGCAUCCUCCACCAAGAAGUCCCGAUUCUCUCUAACUUUACUCAAAUCACUUUCAAUAUCAUUCAAUAGCUGCAUACGGUGUCUUUUCCUCCUUCUGAAACAUAACACAGCUUCUUCUACCGUUGCUUCCCUGCUAAUCCCCAAGUCUAUGAUUCCUCUAUCCCCCAGGAGAUCCAAGAGAACUCCUCUUUCAGACUAAUUAUCAUACCAGAAAGAGGUGUGCCUCCCAUUGCCCACUUCUUCCUAUAAAAAAGUUUUGCUACAUCUCUCAACUUCAACAUCUUUCUCCACAUCCAGGAUCCAACUUGUGUAUUUUUCUUCACUGCCCAGAAACUGUUCUUCUUUAGUAAAUUCUCUCGAAUCCAUUUUCUCCACAAAGAAUCACCCGACAGCAUUCUCCAAAUUAGUUUCAAAACUUAUACUUUAUUGACCUCUUUAAGAUCUCUUAUCCCAAGCCCUCCUUCACUCUUCUCUGUGCAGAUUUCUCUCCAGGCUACCUUAGCCCCCGUGGUUUUCAGAUCAGGCCCCGAUCAAAGAAAUGCAGAGCAAAGUUGAUUCACUUCUUUUAUGCAUUUACUAGGCAAGCGAAACACAGCAGCCCAAAAGGAUACAAUACUCAUAAGCACUGCUUUGAUCAACUGCAGCCUACCAGCGUAGGAUAGAAACCUAGAUGUACAAGUGUUUAUUCUUUUUCUGAUUUUCUCUAAAAGCGGCUGAUAGUCUUGUCUUCUCAUCGAUUGAGUCAUUAGGGGGAGACCCAAAUAUCUUACUGGUAGAUCACCCUCAUCUAAAGGGAAGUAUGUUAAGAUUCUCAUCUUCUCAUGAUCAGAAAUUUCAGCCAUAUAUAUUGUGGACUUCUAAAUGCUGAUUUUCAGACCUGGCCAAACUGUAAACUCAUCGAACACUGAGAGGACACCUUCCACUGAUUCUUUAGAUCCCUCAACAAACACCAUAAGAUCGUCUGCAAAGCAGAUAUGAGUGAGUAGGAGAGACUUACAGCGCGGGUGAAAUUUGAACUUCCUCUCAUGUACCGCUUUGUCUAUCUUCCUUGACAGAACAUCCAUACAAAUUACGAACAAGUAAGGGGAAAGGGAACAACCCUGUCUCAGGCCCCUUGGACUCUGAAAGUAACCAGCAAGAUCCCCAUUAACCUGAACCGAAAACGAAGGACUUGUGAUGCAUAAUUUAAUCCAAUGGAUGAACUUCUCAAGAAAUCCUAAAGCCACCAAGCAUUUCAGAAUAAAUGGCCAGUGAACAGAGUCAAACGCCUUAGAUAUGUCGCUUUUCAUUACACAUCUUGGGGAUAUCGAUUCCUUAUGGUACUCCUUUACCAACUCUGAAGCAAGCAAUACAUUUUCCAUUAGUAAUCUCCCCUUAACAAACACAGACUAGUUCUCUGUAACCAUCCUCGGAAGCAGUAGCUUAAGACGAUUGGCUAUAAUUUUCGACACCACCUUGUAUAAGACAUUACAGCAAGCAAUCGGUCGAUAGUAUCUCAUCUCCAUAGAGUCUAUUUUCUUCGGAAUCAAAGCUAGAAUCGUGGGGUUAACUCCCUUUAGCAGAAAACCAAAUAUGAAGACCGACUGAAUAGCAACUGUAAAGUCAUGGGCAAUAACUGACCAUGUUGUUUUAAAAAACUCACAUGGAUAACCAUCUGGCCCCGGAGAUUUGUUGGACGACAUAGCAAACAACACCUUUCUUAUCUCCUCCUCUGUGACUUCUGCUUCCAACAUAUUACAAUCCCCCCUGAAGUACACCUGAACUCCAAAAGGUCCUGAAGCUCCUCCCCCCCUCCCUUAUUAUCAUCUAUCAAAAUUUUCGGUUCAUUAGUUGAUGUCCAAAUAUUAAAAAAAGUGACUAUUAUAUGCAGCUGAAAUCAUAUCAAAUAAAAUAUGCUUAAAUAUUCGCUAAAAUAAUUACAUGUGAAUCGUGAUGAAAAAAUAAAUUCUAAACCAAAAACGAUAACUAAAUUUCCACAUAUUUUAAACAUACAAAUAAUAUGAAUUAUUUAGUUUAUUUUAAACUAUACAAGAAAUUAUUCAUUCCAUAUUUUUCAUAUAAUUUGUAAUUUUCUGUCAAAUUUCUAAUUAUAUUCAUUUAUAAUAUCUAGCUUUUCCAACCUUCUAUCACUGCUUUUAGAAUUUCUUACAGAAUACUAGAAAGAAAUAAGUAAAAAAGGGAGAUUUAUUUUAGGAUGGACGAUUUCAUAAUACAAAAUAUAUAUUGCUUCAAAUACAAAAUAAUUAGCCAAAAUGAAAAAAAAAUACUUAAAAUAUAUGGUUACAAUAAAUUAGAUACAUGUAAUAAUUUAAAUGACAAGACCAUAUAUUAUAUAGUCCAAGAUUUAUUACCACAAACAGAAAUAGCGCAUAGAGGAAAGAAAAGAAACUGUACCUUCUCUGCAUAUAAUUGUUUGUAAGCCCCGACCAUACAUCAACGACACAGUCUCUCUAUAUGUCUCUUUCGAGUUUCAUAAACCUCCCUUCUAUGGCGGCAGCACUCUCAUCAAUCGCCGUAACACUCAAACCACUCAACUGCUCUUUCUCUUCCUCUAACUCUCGCCUCAGUCACCACCCUAUCUCCGCCGCCGUGUUCCCACCGUCUCUCAGAUUCAACACCUUUCGACGAUGUAAGAACAUCACCAUCUGUUUUGUCAUUGAAGAUCAGAAACAAAGCUGUCCCGACAUCUUGACGACGUCGAGGCUUGAGAAAGAGGAGAGGA